rnacentral:rRNA from 1 species
UACGUAGGGGGCGAGCGUUGUCCGGAUUCAUUGGGCGUAAAGCGCGCGUAGGCGGCUUCGCAAGUCGGCCGUGAAAUCUCCGGGCUCAACUCGGAGGGGUCGGGCGAGACUGCGAGGCUCGAGGUGGGCAGAGGGCAGUGGAAUUCCUGGUGUAGCGGUGAAAUGCGCAGAUAUCAGGAGGAACACCGGUGGCGAAGGCGGUUCUCUGGGCAUGACCUGACGCUGGAGGAGCGAAAGUGCGGUGGGAGCAACAGG